UACGUAGGUGGCAAGCGUUGUCCGGAUUUAUUGGGUUUAAAGGGUGCGUAGGCGGCUUUGUAAGUCAGUGGUGAAAUGUGGCAGCUCAACUGUCAAGGUGCCAUUGAUACUGCGGAGCUUGAGUACAGAUGAGGUAGGCGGAAUUGACGGUGUAGCGGUGAAAUGCUUAGAUAUCGUCAAGAACACCGAUAGCGAAGGCAGCUUACUAGGCUGUAACUGACGCUGAGGCACGAAAGUGUGGGGAUCAAACAGG
rnacentral:rRNA from 1 species